rnacentral:tRNA from 1 species
GAAACGCAAUACGCCGCGUAGACUUCGGUCACGACGGUAUGGCGAGCUUUCGCCGUCCACGUUUCUCUUUCUUCAAAAGGAUAUCGAACCAUUGGUUUGCGCUCACGCACGUACCGCCCUUCGGGCUGUGCUCCGCGGGGGCGCCGGACGACCGGCGACGGCCUCUGGCCUGUAUGGGAGAGCCUUCAUAGGCUUGAAGUUCGGCGAGAUGGGCCCGUAGCUCAGUUGGUUAGAGCACACGCUUGAUAAGCGUGGGGUCGGAAGUUCAAGUCUUCCCGGGCCCACCAUUUGCAUUUGUGAAUGGCGGUUAGUUUGGGUUUACCUGAUCCUGACGGUUUGCUGUCAGGUGUUUGCGAUGGUUGGGGCUGUAGCUCAGCUGGGAGAGCACCUGCUUUGCAAGCAGGGGGUCAGCGGUUCGAUCCCGCUCAGCUCCACCAAUUCGCUUGGUGUCGAGACUGAGAGAUAUCCUUUGAAGAAAUAAAAAAGUUUGCAUCGGCUUAUGGCCUGAUGCCUGUUCUGCAUACAUUGUGAAGAGAAGAUUGAUCUGGAGGCUUCCAGGUGUUUUGGGUUCUGCCCAAAAUGUCCGAGCCCAGUUCUGCUGAUCCUAUGGAUGGCCUAGCCGGCCGGAGAUAGGGGAAGGACUGGGGGUAGGUAGGAAGCUUGUCGCUCUGGGUCGUUGUUGUUCGUUGCCUUCGGGCAUCGUCUGACGGACGACUUGAUUACCGUUGCCUGACCGCGCGGUAUCGGAUCCAAUCUCGAGAAGCUGGUCUUAAGACAGGCUGCAAGUGGGCUGCUCGGCGUAGCUCCAAUAAAGCAGACCUGUCGAACACGUCGAUGGCAU